GACGAAGGUGGCGAGCGUUGUUCGGAAUUACUGGGCAUAAAGCGUGCGUAGGCGGCUAUGUAAGUCAGGUGUGAAAGCCCUCGGCUCAACCGAGGAACUGCGCCUGAUACUGCAUGGCUUGAGGUCCGGAGGGGAGAGUGGAAUUCCCGGUGGAGCGGUGAAAUGCGUAGAGAUCGGGAAGAACGCCGGCGGCGAAGGCGGCUCUCUGGACGGAUACUGACGCUGAGGCGCGAAAGCGUGGGGAUCAAACAGG
rnacentral:rRNA from 1 species